GGUUAAGCGACUAAGCGUACACGGUGGAUGCCCUGGCAGUCAGAGGCGAUGAAGGACGUGCUAAUCUGCGAUAAGCGUCGGUAAGGUGAUAUGAACCGUUAUAACCGGCGAUUUCCGAAUGGGGAAACCCAGUGUGUUUCGACACACUAUCAUUAACUGAAUCCAUAGGUUAAUGAGGCGAACCGGGGGAACUGAAACAUCUAAGUACCCCGAGGAAAAGAAAUCAACCGAGAUUCCCCCAGUAGCGGCGAGCGAACGGGGAGGAGCCCAGAGCCUGAAUCAGUGUGUGUGUUAGUGGAAGCGUCUGGAAAGGCGCGCGAUACAGGGUGACAGCCCCGUACACAAAAAUGCACAUACUGUGAGCUCGAUGAGUAGGGCGGGACACGUGGUAUCCUGUCUGAAUAUGGGGGGACCAUCCUCCAAGGCUAAAUACUCCUGACUGACCGAUAGUGAACCAGUACCGUGAGGGAAAGGCGAAAAGAACCCCGGCGAGGGGAGUGAAAAAGAACCUGAAACCGUGUACGUACAAGCAGUGGGAGCCUCUUAAUGGGGUGACUGCGUACCUUUUGUAUAAUGGGUCAGCGACUUAUAUUCUGUAGCAAGGUUAACCGAAUAGGGGAGCCGAAGGGAAACCGAGUCUUAACUGGGCGUUAAGUUGCAGGGUAUAGACCCGAAACCCGGUGAUCUAGCCAUGGGCAGGUUGAAGGUUGGGUAACACUAACUGGAGGACCGAACCGACUAAUGUUGAAAAAUUAGCGGAUGACUUGUGGCUGGGGGUGAAAGGCCAAUCAAACCGGGAGAUAGCUGGUUCUCCCCGAAAGCUAUUUAGGUAGCGCCUCGUGAAUUCAUCUCCGGGGGUAGAGCACUGUUUCGGCAAGGGGGUCAUCCCGACUUACCAACCCGAUGCAAACUGCGAAUACCGGAGAAUGUUAUCACGGGAGACACACGGCGGGUGCUAACGUCCGUCGUGAAGAGGGAAACAACCCAGACCGCCAGCUAAGGUCCCAAAGUCAUGGUUAAGUGGGAAACGAUGUGGGAAGGCCCAGACAGCCAGGAUGUUGGCUUAGAAGCAGCCAUCAUUUAAAGAAAGCGUAAUAGCUCACUGGUCGAGUCGGCCUGCGCGGAAGAUGUAACGGGGCUAAACCAUGCACCGAAGCUGCGGCAGCGACACUAUGUGUUGUUGGGUAGGGGAGCGUUCUGUAAGCCUGUGAAGGUGUACUGUGAGGUAUGCUGGAGGUAUCAGAAGUGCGAAUGCUGACAUAAGUAACGAUAAAGCGGGUGAAAAGCCCGCUCGCCGGAAGACCAAGGGUUCCUGUCCAACGUUAAUCGGGGCAGGGUGAGUCGACCCCUAAGGCGAGGCCGAAAGGCGUAGUCGAUGGGAAACAGGUUAAUAUUCCUGUACUUGGUGUUACUGCGAAGGGGGGACGGAGAAGGCUAUGUUGGCCGGGCGACGGUUGUCCCGGUUUAAGCGUGUAGGCUGGUUUUCCAGGCAAAUCCGGAAAAUCAAGGCUGAGGCGUGAUGACGAGGCACUACGGUGCUGAAGCAACAAAUGCCCUGCUUCCAGGAAAAGCCUCUAAGCAUCAGGUAACAUCAAAUCGUACCCCAAACCGACACAGGUGGUCAGGUAGAGAAUACCAAGGCGCUUGAGAGAACUCGGGUGAAGGAACUAGGCAAAAUGGUGCCGUAACUUCGGGAGAAGGCACGCUGAUAUGUAGGUGAAGUCCCUCGCGGAUGGAGCUGAAAUCAGUCGAAGAUACCAGCUGGCUGCAACUGUUUAUUAAAAACACAGCACUGUGCAAACACGAAAGUGGACGUAUACGGUGUGACGCCUGCCCGGUGCCGGAAGGUUAAUUGAUGGGGUUAGCGGUAACGCGAAGCUCUUGAUCGAAGCCCCGGUAAACGGCGGCCGUAACUAUAACGGUCCUAAGGUAGCGAAAUUCCUUGUCGGGUAAGUUCCGACCUGCACGAAUGGCGUAAUGAUGGCCAGGCUGUCUCCACCCGAGACUCAGUGAAAUUGAACUCGCUGUGAAGAUGCAGUGUACCCGCGGCAAGACGGAAAGACCCCGUGAACCUUUACUAUAGCUUGACACUGAACAUUGAGCCUUGAUGUGUAGGAUAGGUGGGAGGCUUUGAAGUGUGGACGCCAGUCUGCAUGGAGCCGGCCUUGAAAUACCACCCUUUAAUGUUUGAUGUUCUAACGUUGGCCCCUGAUCGGGGUUGCGGACAGUGUCUGGUGGGUAGUUUGACUGGGGCGGUCUCCUCCUAAAGAGUAACGGAGGAGCACGAAGGUUGGCUAAUCCUGGUCGGACAUCAGGAGGUUAGUGCAAUGGCAUAAGCCAGCUUGACUGCGAGCGUGACGGCGCGAGCAGGUGCGAAAGCAGGUCAUAGUGAUCCGGUGGUUCUGAAUGGAAGGGCCAUCGCUCAACGGAUAAAAGGUACUCCGGGGAUAACAGGCUGAUACCGCCCAAGAGUUCAUAUCGACGGCGGUGUUUGGCACCUCGAUGUCGGCUCAUCACAUCCUGGGGCUGAAGUAGGUCCCAAGGGUAUGGCUGUUCGCCAUUUAAAGUGGUACGCGAGCUGGGUUUAGAACGUCGUGAGACAGUUCGGUCCCUAUCUGCCGUGGGCGCUGGAGAACUGAGGGGGGCUGCUCCUAGUACGAGAGGACCGGAGUGGACGCAUCACUGGUGUUCGGGUUGUCAUGCCAAUGGCACUGCCCGGUAGCUAAAUGCGGAAGAGAUAAGUGCUGAAAGCAUCUAAGCACGAAACUUGCCCCGAGAUGAGUUCUCCCUGACUCUUUAAGGGUCCUGAAGGAACGUUGAAGACGACGACGUUGAUAGGCCGGGUGUGUAAGCGCAGCGAUGCGUUGAGCUAACCGGUACUAAUGAACCGUGAGGCUUAACCUU
rnacentral:rRNA from 1 species